rfam:Myotis lucifugus cont2.33237, whole genome shotgun sequence.
AGCGGUUCUUGAGUGAUGUACCCCGGAAUCGGGCUCCCUCCUCUUUGGUUCCGGGUGCAUCACCCGAAAACCACA